AAAACUUUCAACAACGGAUCUCUUGGCUCUGGCAUCGAUGAAGAACGCAGCGAAAUGCGAUAAGUAAUGUGAAUUGCAGAAUUCAGUGAAUCAUCGAAUCUUUGAACGCACAUUGCGCCCGCCAGUAUUCUGGCGGGCAUGCCUGUUCGAGCGUCAUUACAACCCUCAGGCCCCCGGGCCUGGCGUUGGGGAUCGGCGGAAGCCCCCUGCGGGCACAACGCCGUCCCCCAAAUACAGUGGCGGUCCCGCCGCAGCUUCCAUUGCGUAGUAGCUAACACCUCGCAACUGGAGAGCGGCGCGGCCACGCCGUAAAACACCCAACUUCUGAAUGUUGACCUCGAAUCAGGUAGGAAUACCCGCUGAACUUAAGCAUAUCAAUAAGCGGAGGAAAAGAAACCAACAGGGAUUGCCCCAGUAACGGCGAGUGAAGCGGCAACAGCUCAAAUUUGAAAUCUGGCUCUCGGGCCCGAGUUGUAAUUUGUAGAGGAUGCUUUUGGUGAGGUGCCUUCCGAGUUCCCUGGAACGGGACGCCAUAGAGGGUGAGAGCCCCGUCUGGUUGGACACCGAUCCUCUGUAAAGCUCCUUCGACGAGUCGAGUAGUUUGGGAAUGCUGCUCUAAAUGGGAGGUAUAUGUCUUCUAAAGCUAAAUACCGGCCAGAGACCGAUAGCGCACAAGUAGAGUGAUCGAAAGAUGAAAAGAACUUUGAAAAGAGAGUUGAAAAGUACGUGAAAUUGUUGAAAGGGAAGCGCUUGUGACCAGACUUGGGCUUGGUUGAUCAUCCGGGGUUCUCCCCGGUGCACUCUUCCGGCUCAGGCCAGCAUCAGUUCGCCCUGGGGGAUAAAGGCUUCGGGAAUGUGGCUCUCUCCGGGGAGUGUUAUAGCCCGCUGCGUAAUACCCUGUGGCGGACUGAGGUUCGCGCAUUCGCAAGGAUGCUGGCGUAAUGGUCAUCAGUGACCCGUCUUGAAACACGGACC
rnacentral:rRNA from 1 species